UUCCUGUGAAUUCUGGAGGCUGCAGCCCAGCGAGCCCGACACGGUCGCCAGCAUGUUUCCCAAGCUCAUUUCUCGAUACUCAGUUUGUGAGUCCCGGGAACUAUCUAAUAGGGCAACACAACUGGUGGGUGCAGAGGCCCUGCAGGCAUCGGCAUAGCUGCAGGGUCUGACGGAUGCAGGCGCGUGCAAUUCUCUAUGUUGGCUACAACAGAAUUAUGGUUGAAAAAGAGGCCGGGCGCGGUGGCUCACGCCUGUAAUCCCAGCACUUUGGGAGGCUGCAGCAGGAGAAUGGCAUGAACCAGGGAGGCGGAGCUUGCAGUGAGCCGAGAUCACGCCACUGCACUCCAGCCUGGGCGAUAGAGCGACACUCCAUCUCAAAUAAAUAAAUAAAUAAAUAAAUAAAAGAUUUUUGUUGACCACAGCAGCUGGAAUGUGAAGGUGGAAACGUUGGGAUGCAGCAGGCAUAGAGGGGAUCCCAAAUCCUGAGCAUAUGCUGCCCUCGUCACUAGUUGCUCCCACACUACACAUGAGGCAGGGGAGGUGCAGACUUUAAGCCAACUCACGCUACAAGCAGGGAUUUCAGCUGCUAUCCACCACAGGGGAAAGAGUUUCGGCUCUGAGCUGAGCAAAGGUGAUUGCCUAAUAAAAUGAACCAAAAAAAAGCAAUACUCUUUGGAGGAAU
rnacentral:lncRNA from 10 species